UUUUCAUAAAAUUUCGGCAGCACCUCCCCUAAAACUCGGACUUAGCCACCCUUACGGGUUCCCUCUUUCUCAACAUCUCAUCGAACCUUUCUCAACAAUUAUCACAAUAAAUCAAUCAGAAAUUUAACAAUCCGCAAUAGUUAAUAAUUCAGCCAUAAUCCGCAACUUCCAUAUACUCCAUCUACCCAACUUCAAUUUGAUCAAUUCAUAAAUUAUUUUAACCAAAGGAUUAAUAAUUUUGCACUUUCCAAACACCCAAAACACAUUAUCACCUAACUUAAGCAGAAUCUUAGCAAUAUUGAUACCAAAACACAUAGUAUGUAUUAUUUACAUAAUUCCAGUUCUCUUAUAAUAUGUUCACCCAAAAAUUCUGCUCCAUAUAAUUCCCAAUUAUCACAAGUUAUCCUUAUACUUUUAGAAUAAAUUUAAUAAUCAAGCUUCAAUCUGUUAACAGUUCUCAAACUUAAUUCUAAUUAAUCAUGAACCAACAUUAACAACUACCAAAACCAGUUCCAACCAGUCACAAGUCAAUUUCAUAGCCAUUCCGAUACAUCAAAUAACUAAAAACAACAACAAGCACUUACUCUCCAUAACCAGAAUACAGCCACAUAACUCAACUAAUUCAGUAUAAUCACAUAGAAUCAGAACUUUUCAACAAUCCCAUCAAAAUAAAAAAA